ACUAUUAAAAUCUAUAAAUAUGUUGUGUUAUUGUUACAGUUGUUUUUGUAGUUGUUAUUACAAACAUAAUUGUUUUUAUUUAUUUCAUUCGCAUAUGUUGUGAUUUUUGUGUUUCAACAAUCUUAAUUAUCAUUUUUGAUACAGCACUUGUGUUCUGUUUUAGCCGACAUGUAAAGCGCUUUGAGAUACUGCGGUAUUGAAAAGGCGAUAUACAAAUACAAUUAAAAUGUAAACUAUGCAAUGUGAUGUCUUUCAAGACCUAAUUGGUGAACAAUAUGUCGCCGUUAUCGUAAAAUAAUGUUAACUUAUGUGACGUUGCCAAUAGUAAGAGAACAAACACUUUCUAGUGUUUGACUUUCCAAGCACGUCGAAAGUAGAAAGUGACGUGCAUUCCACGUUGCCAUAGAGGUUCCCAUGGUUACAAGUACACAAUCAAGAUGUCUGCCUUUAUGAACUGGAGCUGUGAGUCUCUAAAUGGAUAGAAUCUUUAGGAUAUCAACAGUAUACGGCAUGUUUCACAGAAAACUAUAUCAAUGGUAGAAAAUUAAUCUUGGUUAAUUGCGCCACACUUCCCAGACUUGGAGUCACAGACUUCAAAGAUAUGAAGGUACGGAUUUUUGUAGUUUCAUUGUAAUAAAAAUGAUUUGGAGCUCACUCCGGAGUAUUUAUCGAUACACCUAUCCCACAGCAGAGCCAUUAAAAAGUUAAAAAAAAAAAAAAAAAAAAAGUGUCUAACUCCCUCAUAACGCGCUCGGAUUCUGCUGCAAUCAAAUUCGAUGUUUUUGUGUGUGUGUGUGUGUGCUGUUUGCUCUGCCUUUGUUGAUAGUUUAUAUAGGGUUGCAAAUCUGGAGAUCUGGCUACUAUUCUGUAAUUAGCCUCUUUUUUUGAAAAGUAGCCCAGUUUUUGGCAUCGAUAGCCCCCUUUUUUUAAUUAGCCCAGUUUUUCAAAUCGAUAGCCCCUUUUUUGUUGGAAAAAAAUCAAUAGAUUAAUAAAAGCUCAUAGUUUCAGGGUUCCAAGGAUUGCUAAUGUAUACCAUGAUGGUCACGCUUCACACUGAAACCCCCAUCUAUGUUCAGAGUAGCACAUUGCUGUAGUGGAUGCUUGAUUUUGUUUGCCUUUGUUACUGUGCAGGUCAAAGCUGGUCAGAACUGCAUACAGCGUUCAGAUAAUGUAUUUGUCCAUCUAGAAUGCCACUUCCUGACGCCUGGAGGAAUAGCAAGUGUAAAUGUAGCAGUAAUACUAUAGGGACCUUAGUGUAGGAAUUGUAUUACAUGUCUCAGAAAAAUAAAACCAGUCCUCCGUUGUAUCUCUAAGGCAAUUUCUGGUCACAUUGGUGAGCUGCUUGAAAUUCUGGACCCCCGUGGGAGCCGAAGCAUUGCAUUGCCCCCCGUGAAACCAAGGCGGUUAUUUUUUUGAGGAAAAGAGUCGAACAGGAUCGACAGCUGAUUCUCUUACGUAUAUCCCGUUUUUUAAAGAAAGGGGCUUAGAUGAAUACACUUAAAAUAAAUGAUGUAAUGUUCUUCAUCUAAA